rnacentral:tRNA from 1 species
GCCGAGGUGGCGGAAAUGGCAGACGCGCUAGGCUCAGGACUUAGUGGGGCAACCCAUGGGGGUUCAAAUCCCCCCCUCGGCA